rnacentral:tRNA from 1 species
AGCAGAGUGGCUCAGUGGAAAGAGCACUGGCUUGGGACUCAGAAGUCGUGGGUUCUAAUCCCAUCUCAGCCC